GUCCUCACUUACUGAGCACCGGUCCCCUGGGCCCACUUUUCUUCCUCUAUACUUUGUCUCUGUGUCUUAUUUCUUUUCUCAGUCUCUCGCCUCCACCUUGCGAGAAAUACCCACAGGUGUGGAGGGGCUGGCCCCCUUCAACAAAUAACACCUGACCCUUGGCCUAGGUGUUGAGGACAUACUGGGCAUUUGGGAGGCUAUGGGAACUGGAGAAGGGAGCAGCUCAGUGCGCUUGAGUACUGCCUUGUGGGAAUGCACCUGUACUGUCAGAGACAGAGGGAUAUCUUUAAAAUCUUAGGAGAGCUGACCCAAGCCCUGUCACCUGAACUCUCAGCAUCUAGAGAAAAGCAAAUGGUGGAGAUAAAGUUGCUGAGGUGCUGGUGGAGCAUGUGACAUGAAGAUUUCUGUAGGUCCAAAGAUGGCCCCCACCUCUCUGGGGCUGGCCAGUGGAAUGCAGAAAAGGAGAGUCCACCGGGCGUCGGUGAUGAACGGAUUCCAGUGUCACUCCCAGGAGCUCCAGACUGAGACCUGCCCCACCUCAGAGGCCCCCUUCCCCAUCCAUGGGCUUCCUGUGUCUCACUCAAUCUGAUUCCUCACCCUGCAAAGGGUCCUCAUGUCCCUGGAGCUUGCCUGCUUCUUGGAGUCCCAUAGCUCUGAGAUCUCAAACCUCCAGUGGGGGAAGCACAGCCCAGGUGCCUCCCAUCCUACCCAUCCCAUCCACAGGACAGGAGCAAACCAGUUUGCUGUGGACCCUGCCUUCGAGACCACCUGGCAUUCCUGGUCCCCUAAAAGAAGCCUAGGAGAAGCUAUUUGGGACCAAAGACAAACCUCCCCAGCUCAUCUCCAGCUUCUGAACACCCAGGACACAAACACACAUUGGAAACACCUGUUUAGUGUCUCCCCUGGCACAGGACUCCCAGCUUUACCGCCAACCCACUCCGGGGCUUAAUCACUCACUGCCCAGAUACAGGUGCUCUAAGCACCAGUUUGUGGGGACAGACUCAGCCUUUCCAAGGGAAGUAAACAGAAAUCGCCCACCUGUAGGACUGAGUUCUUGUUGUUUUUUUAAGAUGAAGUCUCACUCUGUCACCCAGGCUGGAGUGCAAUGGCACUCUCUCCGCUCACUGCAACCUCCACCUUCUGGUUCAAGCAAUUCUCCUGCCUCAGCCUCCCAAGUGUCUGGCAUUACAGGCACCUGCCA
rnacentral:lncRNA from 10 species